UAACAGAGAAGAGCUUGCUCUUUUGCUGACGAGUGGCGCACGGGUGCGUAACGCGUAUACAAUCUACCUUUUACAGGAGGAUAGCCUUUAGAAAUGAAGAUUAAUAUUCCAUAGUAAGUUGACUUGGCNUCNNGAUAACUUUAAAGUUUCGGCGGUAAAAGAUGANUAUGCCNCUCUAUUAGCUAGAUGGUGUGGUAACGGCACNNCAUGGCNACGAUAGAUAGGGGNCCNGCAGAGGGGGAUCCCCC
rnacentral:rRNA from 1 species